rnacentral:rRNA from 1 species
GAUGAACGCUGGCGGCGUGCCUAAUACAUGCAAGUCGAGCGAACAGACGAGGAGCUUGCUCCUUUGACGUUAGCGGCGGACGGGUGAGUAACACGUAGGUAACCUACCUAUAAGACUGGGAUAACUUCGGGAAACCGGAGCUAAUACCGGAUAAUAUUUCGAACCGCAUGGUUCGAUAGUGAAAGAUGGCUUUGCUAUCACUUAUAGAUGGACCUGCGCCGUAUUAGCUAGUUGGUAAGGUAACGGCUUACCAAGGCAACGAUACGUAGCCGACCUGAGAGGGUGGACGGCCACACUGGAACUGGGACACGGGCCAGACUCCUACGGGAGGCAGCAGUAGGGAAUCUUCCGCAAUGGGCGAAAGCCUGACGGAGCAACGCCGCGUGAGUGAUGAAGGUCUUCGGAUCGUAAAACUCUGUUAUUAGGGAAGAACAAACGUGUAAGUAACUGUGCACGUCUUGACGGAACCUAAUCAGAAAGCCACGGCUAACUACGUG